rfam:Aquitalea magnusonii strain SM6 contig_18, whole genome shotgun sequence.
CCUCCCGCUUGCCUCCCUGAGCGGGAGCCUUACGCUGACAAUUAAGGCCUUUACCCCGGCGCAAUGUGCGCCGGGUUUUUUAU